GGCUCUAAGUCAUAUAGUAUCAAUCUCGACCAUAGAUGUUGCAGGAUGAAGGAAUAAUUAAAAGUUUUAAGGAGGAAGAGAUUAAAAGGAAAUUUUCCUUUUCCUAUAUCCAUAUUCCUUUUCAUUUUUCCAAUAUUUUUUCGCAUUCUCUCUACACUCAUACACACCCUUUCUCUAUAUCUUCCUUCCUUAUCAUUCUCUACAUCUCUUUAUAUAUAUAUAAACCCAUCAAAAAUAUUUUAUCCCUAAGUUAAUUGACAUCAAAUUCAUCUUCGUUAAUACCUUUGGAAAUCAAGAUUCACUCAUUCUUUUUGUAUCCUUGUUUCCUCUCUCUUAGCUUAAGGUUAGUGCCCUAACCUUUUGAAAUGAAAGUUAAUUUGCAGCGCCCAAAGCCAAAUAUGCAGCACUAGAGGCCUUAUUUGCAGUACGAGGCUGAAAAACUCAAUCCCACAUAAAAAAUGAGUGGUUUUCUUGGCACAUAUUCCCAUACUUCCAAGAGACUGAGAAUCUGCAUAGUUCAGGUACGUAAAUAUAAUUGGACAAUUUUCAAUAGCAAUUUGAGCUUUAUCAACUUUUAGUUUAAAUUUUACAUCUUUUCUUUCGUAAGUCCAAUUUAGCUUAAACUUUAAGAUGUUAGAAAGAGUAUGCUCUGUACUUACCAUUAAAUUAUAUCUUGUUCGUCAGAAAAUUUAGUUCUUCAAGUAUAACCUCUAAAGACUCCAUUAAAUGGUUCUUUUAUUUUUUAGAGAUAGUGAAGGUUAGGUCGGGAAGGAUUAUUUCCUUCCUUCCUAGAGCAACUGAAAAUAUACACAAAGAUGUAAACACUUCUCUUUCUUUCAAUUUUAGUUACAAUAAUUUUUCUUUUUAUGCUUAGGAAUGCCUAAUCAUUCUAGCAUCUUAAAACAGUUAGUCUAGAAAUAAUCUCUCACAGAUUGCAUUCCUGUUAUGAUUAUUUCAUAUUCAUUUCAUGUUCUUCAAAUGUAACGUUCUUUCAUAAUCAAUAAAAGAUUAUAAUUUAUAGGGUAAAUUGCACAUGUUUGCCCUCAUGAACCAAGAAGGGGAGAUUGAAUUGGUGAAUUAUAGAAAGAUAAGAGAAUAGGAAUUUUGAUGAUAGAGGAAAGAAGGAUAGAGUAGAAAGUGUUAAGGGAUAUGACCAUUUUGAAUUUAAAUACCUUAUAAUAUUAUCUUAUGGAUUAUAUUUUUUGUAAUAUAAUCACAACAGCCAGUUUGGUUCCCAAACACGGGUGCUACCAACCAUAUUAUACUUGACAUAUCUACUUUGACAAUAGUUGAUGAUUAUAAGGGAUGUGAUCAACUUUAUGUUGAUAAUGGUCAGGGUCUUCCAAUUGCUCUCAUUGGUAAUGCUAUUCUUCGCUCAACAAAUGGUGAUCUUAAAUUGAAAAAUAUAUUUCGUGUUCCUAAAACAGUUAAAAAUUUAUUAUUUGUUCAGCAAUUUACUUAUGACAAUAAAUGUUAUUUUGAGUUACAUUCUAGCUUUUUUCUUGUGACGGAUCAACUAACCAAGAAGGUGCUACUCCAUGGGCCUAGUGAUAAUGGCCUUUAUGUUCUUCGUCCUUCAUUAAAAAGGCUUCCAGUUUACAGUUCCAACUCUUCAACAAUGGCAUGAAUGCCUUGGUCAUCCAAACAUGAGAACUAUUUUUAACAUUAUUAAAACUUUAUGUUUUCCAUGUUCUUCUUUUACCUCUAGCCAUUGAUCUUCUUGUUAUUUAGGAAAGCUUGCUAGAUUACCUUUAGCUAGUGUAGAUCAUAAAAGUAAUGCUCAUUUUGAUAUUAUAUUCUCAGAUGUUUUGGAUCCUGUCCCAAUUCUAUCAUGUUUAGGGCGUCGUUAGUUUAUUCUAUUCAUUGAUGAUUUUACAAGAUUUACUUGGGUCUAUUUUCUAAAGAAUAAAAGUGAAGUUUACUCUUGUUUUCUAAAUAUUCAAUCUCUUGUAGAAGAUAAUUUAAUGUUAAGAUUAAAUCAUUUCACUCAGAUUGGGAUGGGGAGUACCAAAUACUCAAUAAAUGUUUUCAAUUUGUAGGAAUCAUACACCGUAUUGAUUGCCCAUAUACACACGAACAAAAUGAAACUUCAAAAAGAAAAACUCGACAUUUGAUAGAUACUUGAUUGACAUUAUUAGCUCAUGAAAAUGUGGCAUUGAAAUAUUGAAACUAUACCCUUACUAUGAGUAUUAUGUCCAUUAAUCAAACUAUAAGUCCAAUUUUGCAAAAUAAGUCGCCAUUCCAAACACUUUUUGGGACUAAUCCAAAUUAUUUGCUUAUGAAACCUUUUGGCUGGGCUAUUUUUCCUCUAAUUUGGCCCUAUAAUCAACAUAAGUUUGCCUGUAGAUCCACUCCAUGUAUUUAUCUUGGUCAAAGUCCACCUUCUAGUGUUUAUCAUUGCUUAGAUAUAACUACUAGACAUAAAUACUUAGGAUGCCAUGCAAAAUUCUUAUGAGUCUCUUUUCUCCUGCAAGUCAUGUGUUUUUGGUACAGGUUUAAACAGAACAUAUCCUAAUCCUUGGCUACAUGUGAUAAGCCAUUCAUCUCAUUAGGACUCUGGAACUCCUUCAUGUAUAUGGUUAUUAAUCUUAUCUCUAAUUUGUACUUCCUUUCCAUUAUCAUCUAUCAACCAUAAUAUUUUAAUUUCUUCAAACUAUAUCUCCAAUCCUAAUUUAAAUACACCAUUACCCAUUACAUCUAAUCUAGAUUCGAACAACCAAAUUGUAUCCUACUCUCCUAUUCCUUUUCCAACUGCUACUUUACAUCCACCCGAUAGUUCAAAAUACCUUGUUGACCUCACCUCUUCCAAUAAUUCUAACCAAUCACAACGUAUCCAUCCCAUAUACUUGGACAAACAAUCAUGCAGAAAUGUCAAGCUCAUAUAUCUACCUAAAUAGAUAUAAAUUAUUUAACUAUUGAAUCAAAUACAUAAAAUCAAGCUAAGUCAUAUGCUAAAUGUAGGGAAGCCAUGUCAAGAGAAAUUGAUGCUCUCAUGACAAAUCAAACUUGGGUCUUGUUACCUCGACCUUCAAACAAGAACAUAAUCAAUAAUAAGUGGAUAUUUCGAAUCAAAAGAAAGGCAUAUGGAAGAAUUGAAUGUUUCAAAGCCAGACUUAUGGAUAAGGGCUACACGCAGGAUUAUAUUUUUUGUAGUUAUCUUGUAAUCUUCUUGUAACUACUUAUAGUUACUAGUCAUUACUUCUUUAUAUAGAUACUUUUAACUCUUUCAAAGUAAAUAUACAAAAAUCCUUUCUCUAAAACCUUUACAGAAAGAACACAAAGAUUUAUAGUGGUUCGGAUAUUAACCAACUCUACGUUCACUCUCCAAUCUCCAAUUGGGUAUUCACUAUACUCUCAAUCAAUUACAAGAGUUUUCACAAGCUCACUCCAAAUUUAGUAUUUAGGGCUCACACCAAAUCUUCUAAACUUGUGUUUUAUGGCUUACAAGAAUUUUACCUAGGCUAACUCUCAAAUUCAAUUUCAAAUGUUUAGGCUAACACUUAGAUCUCAGUAGAGCACUUAAGCCCUUACAACAACUAAAAAUUGUUAAAAUUGAUUGCAAAAAGAAAGAAAAUUAAUGCAAAAUAAGUAUAAGCUUUGGGAGUUGUUGAUCAACCAUUAAAGGUCUUUUGAGGUAGUUUUUAAAGCUUACCAAUCUCAAGGAUCCAUUAUUCAUUAGUUUUAAAAUUUUCACCAACUUUUGCUUUAAGACAAUGCAUUAGAUGCACUAUCAGAGUGCAAAUCAUAGUCAUAAAUCUUGAAAAGUCUCUAAUGGCUAUCUAGCAUGACAAAGAGACAUUAGCUACUUCAGAUGUAACCUUGGUGAUUUAUAACGGUCACAAUAUUUAUGAAUUUCACAGUCGAGCCUUCCAUGGGCGCGGUCGCAAUUCUCAGCUUUAGGAACCCAUUAGUCUCUGCCUCAUAAGUCUUUAUGUUCAUGGUCGCGCCUUUUAAGGUGCAGUCAUGAUUUUCCAUCCUCAAGUCUUCAAUAGCUUCUAUCCACAGACUUGAACCUUUCACGGUUGCGCCUUGGAGGGUACGGUUGCGAUUUUUAGAUAGACUUGGAUUUUUAACCUUGAUCUAUACUAAACAAACAAUACUUGAAAAUACAUUAGAUCAAGACUCGAUUUGAGUGUCAAGAUCAAAAUUAGAGACUUUAGCCUUAUGAAAGAUCAUCUAGGCUAACAUCAUUAGGGUCCUCAAUUUGCCCUAUGUAUCACUAUAAUCCCUGAAUUUUAACUUAUAUUACAAAAUGUUCUGAAUUUUAAUCGAGACUACAUCAUGAAGAUGGGAAUGAUACUAUAUUAAACUAAGCGUUAUAUGCCUUAAUUAAAGUUUUUCCUAUUUUAUUAUUUGAGGAUGAUAGAAUUAUCAAGUUUUGUCCAGUUUGUUAUUUGAGGGAAAAUUAUAGGGUAAAGGGAAAGUAAUCUUUACAUAGCAUGCUGUACGUUUAUCCUUUGGGAAUAAAAUUAUGAGAAAGAAAAUGGAUUAUUUUGUUCGAAAAGCUAAAAGUAUUCUCCACUUCCUCCAUUUUGAAGACAACAUAUAUAUUUAAGGGAAAAUAAAGCAUUACUUUCCUUCCACCUAUUUCAAGACAUUGAAAAAUCAAAUCCCAUAACUUUACUUAUCACGGUGAGGCGAUUAAGACUAAUAAAAAUAGGAGGAGGUUGUUGUUAGAGACUCCACUUCUUAUUCUUGAGCUGCCAUAUUUUUUUUAAGUUUACUAGAAUUAUAAUCACUGAUAACAAUCAAUUUUGAAAUAAAUAUUUUUUAUUUCUUCAUAAAGUGAGAAAGAAGUGUAAGACAGGAGAGAGAAGAAGUGGAAGAGAUGAGAGAUAAAAAGUGUUAAGCUUGGUAAACAUUAAUGAGCUGAUAUGUCCAGUUUAAUGAGCUAGAAUUCUUUUUUCUUUUAAAUAGUUGAGGUAUCGUGCCAGUCAGCUUUUGAUAAGCAUCAUAAUACACAUAUUUUCAUGCCCGAUUGUUUACAUUUUUUAUGCAUGAUUAUCCUGUUUUAUGCUAGAAUCAACUGUCUUUUGUUUCCUUUCUCAUUUCAGGUCAUUUUCGAAGGACAUCAUCAGUAAUCGAGGGACAUACGUGUGAUUACGGACCAAAAUCCAUCAAAUUAGGCGAGGAGUAGCACCCAGAGGGUUGAGCACGGCCUGGACUCCGGCCGUGCUGAAUUACCAAGAGGCUAUCCCCAAUUGUGCCAUUUCAGCACGACUUCCGUAGCCACCACGGCCUCCAGCACGGCCUCUGAUGGAUCAACACAGGCUUGGGCACGGCCUGGAAGGAGUCAGCACAAUAGACUCCACAGAUUCAGCACAGCCUGAACUCCGGCCGUGCUGAAUCAUCACAGCCUGGACUCUGGCCAUGCUGAAUUAACUAUAUAGGCGAUUUUGAAUUCUUUUUGAAGGGGGACGAUUUUUGGACUCAAUUCCAAGACACACACUUAAUCAAUUAUUUCCUAUACCUCAAUUGUAGACCUUGAGAGAUAAAAAUUCAUCAAUUGAAGGGGGGAUUUCACUUGUUCCAACAUCAAAUUGAAGAUCAAGACAAACUUUGGGAGCAUUCAAGAGGCAACUAGGGUUUGAGAUUUCGAAUUUUGCAAUUUUAGGGUUUCUCAUUCAGCUUGAAAGAUAAGGGUGUACAUGCCUUUAAUUUAUUUUUCCUUAUUUUGUUCCCUAAUUGCUUUAACCAUGAACAUGAGUAGCUAGAUCUUUUGAAUCCAUUAGGGUUCACCUUUGUUG
rnacentral:lncRNA from 1 species